UAGGGAAAGCAUGGGCUUGCUCUAAAAGGCCUCAAAAGGACAUCCGAGAAGAACAGUAGUGCUCAUGUUGAAGAACCAAAUGCAAACCAGGAGAAAAUUUCUAUAGCGAACCAUGAGAUGCUAGCUUUAAAAGAGGAAGGCAAGCAGGGCAAAGGUGUUCCAAGGAAUAG